GGGGCCUCAGUCCCCCCACUGCUCCCUCUUGGGUCCUCGGACCCGUCCCCUGUGAGGCCUUGGACCUGCCCCCAGACUCCCACUGUCUCCCCUUGCGGGACCUCGGAUCCCCUUUCCUCCUGUGGGACCCUUGGACACCUCCAUACUCCCCUCCCCCGCAUGGGGACUUGGACCCACCCCUGUCCCCAGGCAAGGGGCUUGAUGUCUUUCCCCUGCCACCACUCAAAGGCCUAAAGGAAAUCCCUUGAACCUGAAUGGUGCGGAGGGCGGACUCUGCCCCGCAUCAGCCAGGGGCAGAGUUAAGGGUAUUUGGUAGCCUUAACUGAUGCCUUGUCAACCCCAAGUGUUCAGAAUUUGGGGAAACCCACCGAAAUGGUGAAACUGGCUUAAACAUCAGGAGAUUUUAAUCAGAAUGGAUGGUGCUGUUCAGCAGACCCUUGGAAAAUUUGCUCCUGAGGUGCUGAGAACCUACCAGGCACAGAUCCCUGAGUUCCCAUUGGGAGAUGAAGUCACUUAGCAUCUCACAGGAUCAAGCAUGAUGCAGUAAAGCAACCUAGAAGACAUUGCCCUCCUUAUGGGAAGAGCCGUCGUUGGACGAUCCCACAGGCCGCUUUGUGAAAUCCACCCUGCCGAAAGCAACGCCCUGAGGCAAAGAGGAAGCCAGAGCAGCUGUUGAAGAACUGGGGUGCUUUUAUCCUAACGCAGACUACUAACCGGCAGGCCGGCAGCCCUGUUCUGCACCCACUGUAGCUUUGUACAUGGUCUCCAAGUGUAGCGCUAUGCAGUGAUCCACUCUGAUGAGGUCUAGAUCCAAAGGAAACUGUCACCAAUGCUUCCCUGGAUGCCAUGGAGAAAUCAGAUGCCACCUUGGAUUCUAGCUUUGGGAAUCCCUCACAUUGAGAACCAACAGGCGGGCACAUUAGGACCAGAAACCAAACCCUGUACUGCCCUUAAGAUCCUUCCUGCAACCCGCCAGCACCACCUUUGUCCAGUCCAAGUGGAGCUUUUGCUGCUGUCUUGCUUAAGGGGGAAUAACCAAGGCCUAGUGCGCCUGAACUGACUGAAACUGCAAACUGUCCACCAGCAGGAAGAGCAGCGAGUGGCCUGCAGCUCGGGGAGGGUGAACUGAGUGCACUGCUCACAGUGGAGCAGGGGCCGGUUCCACGUCAGUGAGUAUCGAUUCCUCUCUGCUCUCCACCAUCCAUGUGAGAAAUACGGCUCUGGUCAGGCUGGAUAUGUAUGGUGAUCUGAUGCACGAAGCUCUGCUGGGGGUCUCAGGGGGCAGGCAGUUAAAGUGCAAUCCCAGUUAUAAGUGUGCAUCGUUAAAGCAUCAGCAAAUGCAGAAGAGCAUAGGGAAUUGCCACAGUGACCUAGUUCCAAGUGCUUUUAUGGUGUCGUGGUUACUGUGUUUGCAUUGCGUACAGGAGGUCCUGGGUUCCAGUCCCAGUGAUUCUAGUACAGUCACGUUAGCAGGCAGUGUGGUUUAGCGUGUGUGACUGACAGGAGAGCUGGGUUCUGUUCCUGGUCUUGUGACUUCGGGCGAGUCACAUUUCCUCUGUCAGCUGCCUACCGAGGCAGGAUAGUCUAGUGGUUCGGGUAUGCGCCUCGGCUAUGGGAGAUCUGGUUUAAUACCCUGCUCUGCCACAGACUUCCUGAGUGACCUUGGGAAGUCACUUAGCCUCCCCGUGCCUCAGUUUCCCAUCUGUACAAUGAAGAUGAUAGCAAUGCCCUGCAUCCAAGGGGUGUUGAGUGGCCAUAUAUUGUGAGGUGCUCCGAUACUGCUGAGGUGGGGAUUAGAUAAGUACCAUAGCUAGAUACCGUGGGGGUUUGUGUGCCGCCUUCUGAGGCUUCUGGCCCACAAUGGGGCAUGGGUCUGAUCUGAUCCGAUGUUCUCAGUCUUGGACCAUUAUAUCAAAUAAAGGAUUUAAAAUGAGCACGGUGCC